UCCUCAUCCUUUCUGAACGCCCCCAAAAACUGUCCGUUUGAGAACAAAGCCAGCUUUACGCUGUGUGAUUCCGGCACCCGUAUAAGAUCGUCCCACUAUACGAGAUGAUCCGACAAAACCCUCGCUUGAUUGUAGAACUGGCUGCGAGAUUCCACGUGUCCUCCACGUCAGCUUACAUGGAGAAGAUCAAAUACACCACCGCUGAUCUGUACUCACAGCCAAGUAAAUCUUUUAGUGUGUCAUUUUCUUUAUCUGUGACUGCAGAUCCAGGCUGGAAAUCUUCACAGCAUAAAGCCGUCUCUCCCUAACCCGAUAUUCUCAAUCCUCUCUCUGUUCCGGAACAUAUUUCCGUUUCAUUCUUGCUCAGAAACAAGAACAACUUUGGCUGCAUUGCUGAAAAAAACAAACACAACAGCGUCUUGUACCGUCAUAUUAUCUGGCUAGCUAGCAUGGCUUGAUAACUAGCUAGCAUGCUAAAUAUCUAACUUUCUAUCAAGCUACUAGCAGAGACAAAUCAGCAGUUAUUUAUGGAUAAAAUUGGAAUAAUAAAACCCUGAAGACAGACAAUCAGAUGAUCUAUCUAUGGGUUUUUCUUUCUUUCUUUCUUUCUUCUUAAUAUUAAUUGAACCUUUCAAAAAGGAAACAUUAUAAGAACGCAAUGCUUUCUGGGUAAGUUGUGCUCCUGAGGUAUACAAGGAUAAGAGGUCAGAGAAAAACAAAGGAUUAGUGUUAAUUAUUAAUUAUUAAUCGCACUUUUGAUUAUUUAAUCUGGAGUGAAAUGAUACGACAAAUGGAUUCGUUGUGCUUAUCUUUCUUUUUAAUGUUUUUUUAAUUUUUUUUUUUUUUUUUAACAUAUAUAUAUAUAUAUUUUUCCGUGUUGAGAAAUUCCAAAUGUGCUGAAUGCAAUCAAAUCCGAGCGAAAUGCAAAGUGGGGGAAAAAAAUAAAUAAAUAUUUUAGAUGGAUGUAUUGUGGAAUAUUACUUAUAAAAGAAAUAUACCCAUUGUGCUACAGAGGUCAUUUUUAUUUUGUAAUUAGAGCGGUGUAUUGAUAUAUCAAAUAAAAUUGUUUUGUAAAUAUCCACAAACAUUGUUCAGGCAUGUUUUAUUCAUUUUUUUUCAUUUUCCUGUUUCGUUUUCCAGAUGUAGCAAAUGCAAAACUGAAGUGCUGUAUAGUGACUUUAAUAUCGACUGUGGUGCUGUUUCGAGGUAAAAUGUUUAUAGUCAAGUGUUUACAUCGUUUUUAGUAACGUUUGAAGUUAUUUAUCUGAAACAUGCACACACUUUACGUGUCUUUAGAAUGUUUACACACAAACUUUACUUUCCAGACGUAUUUGUACAGGGAACGUAAUAAUCGGUGGGAAGGAAAUGGCACCGGACCAUGAAAUCAGCCGUGAGAGAAUAUUAUUCGUUGUCUUCUUCAUUGUUUUCUAAUAUCUGUGAACAUGAGUUACGAUUAAAUAGACGCUUCCAUCUUUACUGGAUAAACGAAAACAACAACAACAGGGACUUAAACCAACCAAGAUUUUUUUUUUAAGCAGACAGCAACAACAACAAUGUGGAUAUCCCGCUCCAAAACCAUGUCCAUUGAUAUAGAAUUGGCUGCUCUAACAGCCUCCACUCAUCUGAGAAGGCUUUCCACGAGAUCGUGGAGCAUGGUUGUGUUUUGUAAAUUGUGUUCAUUCAGCCACAAGAGCAUUACUGAGCUCGUGCACUGAUGUCAGACGAGUUCCAGUUCAUCUCGGAGGUGUUGGAUGGGGUUCAAGUCAGGGCUCUGUUCAGGACACUGGAGUUCUUCGACACCGACCUUGGCGUACCAUGUCUUCAUGGAGUUCUCUUUGUGUAUGGAUGCCGGAUCAGGUUUGGGUAGGUAACCAUGGUAACCCUAACCCUGUAAAUCUACAGCACCCAAACAAAUUCCAGACAAUCGUGUGCCAACUUCCAACAGUUUUUAUUUCCCCCUCUCCGUGUGCCCCCAAAACAGAUCUGACCCGUCGAGGCAUGGACUCCACAAGACCUCUGAGGCUGUGCUGUGGUAUCUGGCACCGAGACGUUAGCAGCAGAUCCUUUAAGCUGCAAGGCGAGGCCUCCGUAGAUCGGACCUGUUUGUCCGGCACGUCCCACAGCCGCUCGAUCGAAUAGAGAUCUGGGGGAUUUGUUGAACACUGUCAUGUUCCUCAAACCGUUCCUGAACCAUUUUUGCUGCGUGUCAGGGUGCGUUAUCCUGCUGAGAGACGCCAAUGCCAUUAGGGAAUACCGUUACCUUGUUUCAGUAGGUGAUACGUGUCAAAGUAACAUCCACAUGAAUGCCAGGACCCAAGGUUUCCCAGAGGAACAUUCCCCAGAGCAUCACACUGCCUCCGCCUUCUUCCCAUAGCGCCUCCUGGUGCUAACUCUUCUCCGGGUAAGCAAUGCACACACAUGCACCACAUGAUGUAAAAGAAAACAUGACUCAUCAGACCAGCCCGCCUUCUUCCAUCGCUCUUAGGUAUAUUUUAAGCAGGAUCCCAAUCAUGUAUAAAUCAAUGUAUAAUUUAAAGAAACUAAGACAAGCUGAUGUGACUCUAACUUGUGGAACAUCACAGGACACAUAUUCCUCACUCACCCUCUGUACCUAUUGAGGAACAUUUAGUCUGUUCUCCGUAUCUUUUUACCAGGUUGUGAUUUCUUAAAGUGUAUUGUUCAAGUUUACAUUUUUAUUCGUAAUGUUAAUCCGUAUAAAAACACACAAAAAAAUAAUAAACCGAUGAGCUUGCGCCACAAUUAAAGAAAAGGGAGAGUGAAAUAAUUGUGGUGAGAGGUCAGUGGCAUGAUUUAAAAGAAAAAAACAACGACAUUGUUUUUAAAAUUGUAUAAAAGCAGGAGCCACGACUGUCUUAAAUCAGAUCUUCCGCAGACCAUCUGGGCUUUGCUGCUUUUUUAAAAUAAAGUCUUUAAAUCGGUACAUUUUAGCCGGAC
ensembl:lncRNA